UUUAAAGUGUAAUGUAAGUCGCUUUGGAUAAAAGCGUCUGGUAAAUGACCUGUA
rfam:Gasterosteus aculeatus cont1.012191, whole genome shotgun sequence.